CAGUCGCCGCGGGAAUACGUAGGGUGCGAGCGUUAAUCGGAAUUACUGGGCGUAAAGCGUGCGCAGGCGGUUGUGUAAGACAGGUGUGAAAUCCCCGGGCUCAACCUGGGAAUGGCAAUGGAUACUGGCAAGCUAGAGUGUGUCAGAGGAUGGUGGAAUUCCCGGUGUAGCGGUGAAAUGCGUAGAGAUCGGGAGGAACAUCAGUGGCGAAGGCGGCCAUCUGGGACAACACUGACGCUGAGGCACGAAAGCGUGGGGAGCAAACAGGAUUAGAUACCCGCGUAGUCCCUGUCUCUUAUAC
rnacentral:rRNA from 1 species